GAUGAACGCUGGCGGCGUGCCUAAUACAUGCAAGUCGAGCGAACGGACGAGAAGCUUGCUCCUCUGAUGUAGCGGCGGACGGGUGAGUAACACGUGGAUAACCUACCUAUAAGACUGGGAUAACUUCGGGAAACCGUAGCUAAUACCGGAUAAUAUUUUGAACCGCAUGGUUCAAAAGUGAAAGACGGUCUUGCUGUCACUUAUAGAUGGAUCCGCGCUGCAUUAGCUAGUUGGUAAGGUAACGGCUUACCAAGGCAACGAUGCAUAGCCGACCUGAGAGGGUGAUCGGCCACACUGGAACUGAGACACGGUCCAGACUCCUACGGGAGGCAGCAGUAGGGAAUCUUCCGCAAUGGGCGAAAGCCUGACGGAGCAACGCCGCGUGAGUGAUGAAGGUCUUCGGAUCGUAAAACUCUGUUAUUAGGGAAGAACAUAUGUGUAAGUAACUGUGCACAUCUUGACGGUACCUAAUCAGAAAGCCACGGCUAACUACGUG
rnacentral:rRNA from 1 species